UUACGGCCAUAUCACAUUGAAACAUUGGUUCCCGUUCGAUCUGCGAAGUUAAAUAAUGUCGAUCCUGGUCAGUACCUAGAUGGGCAAACGAUUGGAAAUACAAGGUGCU